CAGGUUCGUUUUUAAUAAGGUUAAGUGUGCAUGCACUUACACGAUUGAGUUAACACAGCCAUGAGCAGUUUAUUUAAAGACGUACUGCCUAACACAGCUUUCUGGUGCCUUAAUGAUCACUUCCUAAUAUUGCUGCUAUAAAUACUUCCAUGAUUCACGUCUCCUGCUGCGGAACAGGCAACGAAUCUCCAGGAAGGAAGUACAGAACUGGAUCUUUUUUUUCUGAAAGGUACUCCUUGGAGUUCUAUUAUAACUCCAUAUAAUUUGUGCCAGAAAGUCGUUCACAGGAAACGUAUAAAAAAUAGCCAAUAAAGAUGGCUUUAUUUUUCAAGUGCUGGCAGUGGAAAAUGCACCUCUGAAAUCCUCCCCUGGGAUGUUUGCCGGUCUUUGUGUUGCUGUACUUCUGUGAGACACUGCUGGUGUCACACCAGAAAGCAGCAGUCUCCAUUGGUCUCCGUCCCGUGGGGCUUUGCCAGCUUUAUUUAUCCUCGUGAGAGUAAUGGAUCCCCUAAAUGAAAGGAUCAGGUAGGAGGCUGGAAGCAAUCUCUUCCCAGCUCCUUAUUAGUAGCGGCAACCGUUGCCAGAGGGCAUUGUGGAGCCCGAAAGCAUAACCGUGUUCAAAGAGGGAUUAGACAAAUUCCUGAAUGGCAUUUGCCUGGGCGGCUGUUAAACCCGAUAAUCUCAGUGCAAACCUCCUGUUGAGGAUGGCCCUGAUCCACGGUUUGCCAGGGACAAGGGAACACUGAGGGUGGAGUGACUGCUGUGCUGCACGUCCUGCCCUCACCGCGUUGUGCCACAGCCUCUGCUGGCCCUGCCAGCCCUGCAGUGCUGGCUGCAGCUCUGCAUUGCCAGGAAAUGGCAGCAGGAGCCCCACUGCUGUGCACGCACAAAGUGUGCCGUGUUAACAGCAAGAGAGGGAAAGCUGUGACUUCUCCCUCGCUAUUUCUUGAAACAUUUCUGGAGGAGCUGAGCUCCCUCUUGCCGGGUUGCUUCCAUCAGGUGAUGUGCAGACACCGCUGCCUUGUCCACCUAACAUGGAAAGAAAGAGAAGUGAUUUCUUGCACUCCUACUGAGUUGUCUUUGAAUGAAAGGCGGCAUUCAUUACUGGGGAAAGAGUCAUGGGAAAAUGCAAAAGCUGCAUCACUGAAAGAGAAAAAUCCCUGAAGCUCACUGCAGAAGCCAUAGACACAUCCCAUAGAGCACCCAACAGUUAACAUGUAUGUUCUGGACAGGGAGGAGAUGGUAUGGAGAAAGGUAGGAGAAAACAAGGAGGAGGAAAGGAGAUGGGAAGGAGAAAAUAAGGAGAAGAAAAGGGGAAGGGAAGGAGAAAGGAAGGAGAAAGGAAAGAUGCCCCACUGGGGUCAUCAGCAUCUCACAGCUCUCCUUUCUUGGUGCCAGAGGUGUAGCUUCUGAGCUGGCCGGGGGUGUCCUACAGAAAUGUAAAUAUUAAUUAAGAGCAAGAAUUACAAUCCAGGUCAUUGCAUGGGUCAAUCCGAGCUCCAAGCUUUGUGAGCAUAACUAACCUGCUGUAUUUUUAUUUAGGGGGGAAACAAAUCCUGGUCUCUGGAGGUGUGCUGAGGCUCACUGCACCUUACCUCCUGCAGACGCUGGAUCUGGAGCUCUGCUCCAAAUGAAGGUCCCACUGCAGUGGAGCUGCAGGAAUGCCCCAGCAAGGCAAGGGUCCAUCUGGUCCUGCUUUUCCACAACUCCAUUCACGGAGGGAAAAAGUUAUGGAGAAUAAUCAAAGAAAAACAUAUAACAUGAUAGCUAAUAUUUCAUGGUUGUGUGACAGCUCAGAAUUCAUUGCUGUGUUGCGGAGCACUGCAGUGCAAACAGGAGCAUAGGAAAGUCAACUGCACUGCGGGCUUUGCUUCCUACCCACCUGCUGGGUUUUUGGCACUGUGUCUGAUGGGAAUAUUUGCUCUCCGUGUGGUGACAGCGUGAAUGCCACCGUUCCAAGGAAGAGCCCAUUGAGCCCCCACAGGUUAGGAGUGGGGGUGCAGCAUCUCGCAUCCCAUCCCAUCGCAUUCCAUCCCAUCACAGCCUUUGUGAGGUUUGGGCUCUGGCUGGCAGUCGUGUGCCACGAUCAGCACAGUGUGUUUGUACAGCCAGGCAAGAUCUUCUCAUCAGAGCAACACCCCUCCUCUUUGUUCAUUUAUUUUUGAAGGGAGAUUGCCCCACUGAACCUCCCACUGACCCUGCUUCUCUCCAGGUGGGAGACCAGAGAAAGGUUAUUUUCAGUCACUAAAGGUUUUACAUGCUUUAAAAUAAUAAAGUCUGGUGAAAAAACAUUCUACCUCAGGCAUGAACUUUUAACGACUCCAUUUCAUAAUCUUUUCAAAGAAAGAUCCCUGUUAAACCAACCGAGACUUCCAGCUCUUUUUGUUGCUGGCUUAAAGAGCUGGCGCUGAAUGCUGCUCAGCGCUAUUUGCUCUGCCCAAUUCCCCCUGCAGGUUUUGCUAAACGUUAUAGUGUGACACAGUACAGACUCUCAGUGACAGUGACAUCGUCUGCACAUAAGAUCCAGGAGCCAUCAGCCUCACGUGUAUAUGAAGAAUAUAUUCCAGCGUGAUGUGCAGUGUGCUUGGUUGGCUGCACUGGAAAGAUUUCCAGAUAGCUAUCGAUUUUCCCAUCCUGUAAUUAGUUCAGAGAUUACUAGCAUAGAAAAUAUUGCUCUAGAAAUUGAUUUCUGUAGUUGUUCGUUGCACCAAAACUAUAGUAUGGCUGCGAAGCACGUCACAUGUUGUCUGCAGACUUUGAACUUUGGAGAAAUGCUGCCACAGUAAACCCCAAGGAGAAAUCACAUGGCUGGUGAUUUUGCCAUCUCAGAUUAAGUGAAAUCCUGCCAGCUAUUUGAAUUUCAAAGUUCAUCCUUAUAGAUCUUGCAGGAUUAAGGUCCAAAGGAGAGACUGCCUCUUAUCUUGUAACUGAGAGCACCUGUGAGGCUGAGUGGGUCAGGAUCCAAGCAAGCAUCAUAUGAUGGUACAGUUCUGCUGUGCAGGGACCCUGUUGUGCUGGGACAGGUGCUCAUCUUUGACUAUUUGUCAUUAAUCUGUGCCCUGUGCUCCCUGUCACCCUUUGCCCAGUGCCCCUGUGGAGAGGUCCCAGAUCCACGAAGCAUCCUACAUCCUACAUGCAUCCCAACAUAGGCAGCACUUGGCUGGGAGCUCUGUGCACCGCUGGGGAAUGGAAACCCCUCCGCCCCUUUUUCCAGUCCACAGAACUACCCUUAGUCACCAUCACGAUGCAGAUGCUGCAGUGCUAACAGCCAGCUACCAAAACUCUCAGGGUGCAACCUGCAGCAACACGUUUCCUGGCACUUUGCUCGUCUGCUCCCCACCAUGGCCUCAGUGCUGAUGCUUUGCAAGGGUGAAGUUUGUACCCUUUCUGCUGCUGCUGGAGUCAUUUAUGAGUGUAGUAAAUGCCAAGCAUGCCAGUUCCCUGCCCUGGACUAUACCCUACUUAUCACAGGUUGCUGAGCAUUCCAUAGAAUGCCCCAUCAGCCAUAGCUCUGAAUAUGUCCCAAGCCGUUUUCUCUCCCUUCCCAACCCUACAGCUGAGCCCCAUGCACCAGGAAGGAAAGCACGAUACACCCAGGAGCAUCUCUAACUUGGCAGCAGAAGCCGUCCUUGCACGUGCCAUUUCCUCCUUAUAAUUAAAGAGAAACUUAAUCAGCUCAACAUCUCAUCCCUGAAGAACGAGAUGCUCAUUUGCACUUGGCGUGCUGUCAGAAGGCAGCAAGCUGCAGCACCUCCUGCAGUCAGCAGAGGAAGAUGUGGGUCCCAGCAGUGUCCUUGUCCUGCAGGUCCCAUGUGCCCAUCACAAGGCUGCACCACUCCACCAGGCUCUUCACAGCUCAUCUCCCCAGUUAGUGCCUUUUCUGGUUUUAAUUCCCUUCCAGGGUGGUAAAGGGAGAUGAUAGGAAGGGGAUGGCAGUGCUGGAGCACAGAAAAGCAGAACAGAGUCACGGCAGUGGCUCUGUGCACUUGGGCUUUCAUUUUCCCAUUUUCUCACCCAAAACUUUGUGAAUGAGGGGCACGGGAAGAAGCAGACUGCUGCCCAAGGGCAGAAGCAAACAUACAAAUCCCCAUCCCUUUGAGACAUCCCACGGUACAUCCAUCCCCAUCCCUGUGUCCCUGCACUGCCCCUACCUGGCAGCCAGAUGCUGCCCCACUGAGCAUGCCCUGCCUCUGCCAGAGCUGCAUUUUCUACCACUGUGUUGCUUCUACGCAGCAUUUUUCCAUCUGUAAUUACAGCCAAUGAAAGAAGUCUCCUCCCUUCUUGGGAAAACCGAUCGCUCUCAUGGCGGUGCCUGGGUGGGACACGGCUCUGUGCUGAGUGAUACAGUGUUGUUGCCCACAUAGGGUGGGGUGACUUGCUUAUGGAAAACAGAAGAAUUACAUCUAGUGAAACCCAACUUCCUCUUCCAAAGAGGCUGUUACCUCUCUCUGGCUGAGUAAUGGCAGUUGGGAAACCCCAAAGAAGACAACGAGGGCACAGUUACAAAGGGAUGUCAGGAUUACUUCAUUGAAGGGCACAAGUGUACCCAGCGUCAAACAAAUCAGUUGAGUCACUUCUUUACAAAGAUUGCAAAUUAAGGAGGUUGGGCAGACAGCAAAACCCCCCAGAGCUGCAGUAUUUGCCUAUUCUGUCGCAGUCAGAAAAAUUGGCUGUGAGAAGUUUUCUUCCAGGACCCGUGACAUCCCAAAAGGAAGAAGUCAUGCUUAGUCUUAAAAACCCCAAACCUCUCAAUAACAAAAUAUAGGCAAAUGGGGCAGUUUUUUGGUUUGGUUGAGACAGUGUUUCUGCUGCUGUUUAAUUCCCCAACGCACUCAGUUCCAGUGAAAGCUCAGGCAAUGCCUCAGGGGAUGGGAAGCGCUGCAGUGAAAGUAAAUUCAGCAAAGCAUGAGUGCCACGGGGCAUCCUCUGUGUGCAGCUGCCGGUGUCAGACGGGGCCACAAAUUCCCCUCCUGCAAGUGCAGCUGUUGCAUCAGCACAUUUUUAAUCUUUGCGGAAAGAAGCGUUACAGCCGUGAGCAUUAUGAUGCAAUGAUCCUGCACGAGAAAGGCAUUGGAGAGAAGGAGGUGAAAAUGGGGUGUGAUUCUUUUUCUCCCAAAGCAAUGCUGGGGACGGGGGAGUCAACUGAUUCUCCAGGAUGUGGAUGGCCACGAAGUGUCUCACCCCAAGAAUACAUCUUCAGUUGCACCGGGGAGAUUCAGGUUGGAUAUUAGGAAAAAUACGUUCUCUGAAAGAUGCAGUGGCACAGCUGCACAGGGGGAAGUGGGGUCACCGUCCCUGCAGGUGUCCCAGAGCUGUGGAGAUGUGGCACUGAGGGAUGUGAGCAGUGGGCACAGUGGGGUGGGCUGAGGUUGGAUUCGGGGAUCUUGGAGCUCUUUUCCAACCAAAAUGACCCUGUCAUUCUGUGAUCUAAUCUUUGUGUACCUGAUUCCUCCUCGCAUGAGGGCAGAGGAGUUGGCAGUGAGGGAAUCCCCCAGCAAGCACCGGUCUCCACAGCCGUGCACUUUUGGGGUUAGCUCAUAACACGGCUCAGCAUGCAUUUUUGGGGUUAUCCACACCAUUUCCAAGGGCAGAGAAAGUGCAGGAGGUGUCCUCACACCCGAGAACUGACUUGAGUGCAUUCCCCAUUCCUCGUCUCCCCCCUGUAUUCCUGUCAGGAUAAAGACGGGCACAUUGUUAGACCAGUCUCACUCUCCCAUCUAGUGGAGAAACAAGGAAAGGUCGUCCUAUUAAAAUAAGCGAAUAAAAAUGCAGGUUUCUGUUGCUUUUAGCAGGGAGAGGUAUGUGGGGGGUGGGCGCAUGGUACUGUUCUCACUGUGGGUUCUGUUAACCUGUAGGAAUGUCACAGACCUCAAUAGAGAGGAAAAGGCAUUAAAAUGCAAAGAGACCUCUGAGUUGUUCCCUGGGCCUGGUGGGGUGUAGGGCUUCCCUGCUCUGGGUAUAAGGCACAAAGGAAAGCCCUGCACACCUCUGGAUGUGUCCCCACAGAACACUGGCAGCUUGGGAUGGAGGCAUGCACGGCUCCAGCAAAACAGUACUGUCACUGAGCAGGUGCCAAAAAGCCGUGCAGCGGGGCUGCAUCUUCACACAAACAACUUCUGACCUUCAAAUAACCCUCACUGCCAUUCAGGCCCCGUGCACUGAACAGCUUGCAUGGACCGGACGGGAAACCGCAGGCAUUGCGGUUUCCCGUCCUCUCUGUGUGGUCGGGGCUGCAGAGCCUCAGUUCCCAACAGCACGAGAACCUUCUGCUCCCCGAGAUGGCUGUUGGAGUGGGGGCUGCUCAGAGCUGUGAGGCAGUGCUUGCUUUCAGCCGGAGCUGGGAGGGAGGAGCUGCACCCGUCCCCUUAAAAUUUCACACUUCAAUUCAGGUGCAAGAAAUCCCAUUCUUUCUACAAAGAACAGGUGGAAAACCAGCCUGGUCCACAGGCAACAACCAAUGCCAUGGGACUGCUGUUACAAGGACAGGACAGGUGAGGAACUUGGGUCCUGCUGGCCCCAAUAUGGGAUGCUCCCACUGCACUCUGAUCUAGCUAAGACCUGAAAACCUGACCGGAACUGAUGCACACGCACUGGAGAUUUAUGUUCUCAUGUCAGAUCGAAGAUUCGUGGCAUUUCCUGGAAGGUUACAUGAUGUUUCAUUUUCAACAAAUAAGGUCAAAAGCACAAAGAAAUAAAUAAAAAAAAAGCAAUCUCUCUAGAUCAGCUGUUUGCAAACGCCGGCGGUGCAAGCCUGUGUGUUGCUGCUUGUACAGAACUGCUUUCCUGGAGCAGCGUGCUGCUGAACCCACACAGCCUGCAGCAGGAAACAGCUUCAGCUGGAACAGAGCCCUGGGAUGGGUGUGCUGCUCACCCACACGUUCAGAUUGAAUAAGAAGAGGUGCUGGAAGGGCAGAAAUUGGGCAGUCAUUGGCAUGCAGCAGCACAGACCCCCAGACACAUCCCUCCUUCUGCAGCAAUGUCACAGCUAGAGGAUCCAGGUGGGAUGUCCUGGGCUUGCAUUUCAUCCUGCAAAUCCUCCCAGCAGGACAGCCCCUGCUCCUACCCUUGAAAGCAUGUUUGCAGCUACAGCAAAUAAAAUAAGGUUAAUGAAAAGUCACUCUGGAAACACGGAAGCACAGUUAGUGCUGCUGCUGUGAUGCUUCAUUUGAGAUGCAGGGAGGUAAAGUUCUGCCUCCCACCAGGGGUGUCACUGGGGAAUAUUAUUUCUUCCUUCUCUAAAUGACAUGGCAUCGUUUCUUCUUUUCAGGUCACUGCCAACUUGGUGUCACCGUUUGAUUUUUCAGGAAAGCGUAGUCUUUACCUGACAGCGGUGGUUGCCUCCAUCCACCCUCCCACCCCCAAAACAGAGCUACAAAAAUAGAUUCACCUACAGACGAAGAGCAAAUAAAGAUGGCUCCCAGCACGUGAAUAGCUGAUGAGGAGCCACUUAGCAGACUUGGCGUAUUCAUCAGCUUCAGCACAUGAUCGUUGAUUGUGUGUCUGCAGCUCCUUUGUUCUUCUUUGCUCAUUAUAAUCGGGUCAAAUGGGAUGCACACAAACCCCUGGCGGAAAUGAUAAGAGCCAAUGGAGAUGGCCAUAACCAUGACCCAUCCCAACUGGAAAAUUACCAGUUAGGAUUUUUUACAGCCCAUCAAACGGAGCCAUUCCAUCCAGCAGUGAGAGGUAGGUCACUGCUAAUUACGGGGUGAAAUCCAGCUCUGCACAUUGCCCUGUGCCUCUCAUUAGCAGCCCGGGCUGGAAGACCCUUGCAGAAGUAGGGCAGGGUUUCAGGGUGUGCUUCUCCAGUGCAGACCGGUCCUACCUUACAAGUACCCAUCUGAAGCAGUUGAGGACUCAGCUGCAGUCUGGUGUAAGGGCAGAGUGGUGUAAGGGCAGAAUGGUGUAAGGCUGCUCUGUUGUCCCUGUCUGAUCCAGCCCAGGCACUGCAGUUCUUCUGGGCCCUUCACUCCCCACUCCUCCUGGCGCUGACCCAGUAAACCAGAUAGAACAGAGCAUCCUUCUCUCUUCACUUCUGGGUCAGAGGAAAACGCUGUUAUUAGGCUACCUCUACUUUAUGGUCUUUUAAUUAUUUCCACCUCUGUGAUUAGACUAAUUAGCUAACUGGUUUGUAAUGGCUGCAUGGUAGCUCUCAUUACGUUUUCAUUAAUCACAGCAUCACUGAGUCUCGCUAAGAGUCCAGGAUUUUUUUUUUGCGUUAUGAUUUGAAAUUAUUCAAAGCAAAAGGAAUCUGAAGGGGGAAAAGAAGUCAAUAGGAACAGACGCAGUGUUCAUCAGCAUCUUGGCAGAGAGACUCUCUGGUAUAUUUAGAAAUGCUGUGAUUUACAAGAGCCCACCAGCCAUUUACUUAGCGUCUAGAAGACACGGUGAGUUUGAAGUUUCCAAUCACAGCAGUUUAAGGCACCUUCUCACCCUCUUUGAUUUGAGACAGCUGAGUGACACACUCAAAUGGGAUCAGAAAUAAAAGGACUGACAGCACAUUUCCUUCAUCCCAAGAGCUGCACCCAGCAACGCCUCAGCAUCCCUUCAUCACAUGGAGAAGUGUGGGACAAAGCAGGAAAGAGAUCUAAGAGGAGGUUAAGUUUUUGCUGCUGGAAAAACAUUACUCUGACAGCUCCCAAGGCUUUGCUAUAAAUCUUUAUCCACCAAGGCAAUUUGAUGUGCUAAAAGACUUCUUAAAAUAAUCAAAAUUAAGAACAAGGCAGCCCACAUUGGGUAGUUUAAGUACGUGCACAGGGGGACGUUCAUCACUGUGGUUAUGACAGAAGAUAAUAAUAAUAAUAAUGAGAUUUAACACCUACUUAACAGGAGAAACCCAAAAGCCUGUACAAACACCAAUCAAUUAGCUCUGCCAACCAGCUGUGUGCUGGGCAGGAUGAUGGGGGAGAAGAUAAUUGCCCAGAAAGCUGAAGAUUGCCAGCAGAGAAGGCAGAACUGUACUGCUGCUCACUGCCCUGCAGCUGCCGUGGGAGUGCUGUCAGACAUUGCUACUGCUGCCUGCACCAACACCGUGUGAAAUCCUCCAAGGAAACCUGUACAGAAGGGCAGAGCUAUGUCCUGACAUCCCGAAGACUUUGCAAGGUGUCAGAGACAUAAACCAGGGAGAAACCAAAGUAGACUUUAUACAUCAGUCCUGCUUUAGCUUCUGAGAGCUGAAAAUUGGUCAUACUCUUUACGGACGGAGGUGCUAUAGAGCCCUAUUACUGGUCGUUCUUCUUCCUUUUCAACCAUCCUCCACCUGAUCCUGGUCAGGCUGGAUAUCAGGAGAAAUUCCUACUCAGAAGGAGCAGUCAUGCAUUGGUAGAGCUGCCCAGGGAGGUGGUGGGGUCACCAUCCCUGGAGGUGUUCAAGAAAAGGGUAGAUGUGACCCAGAGGGACAUUAGUGGGCAUGGUGGGAUGGAUUGGGGUUGGACGUGAUGGCAUUAGAGGUCUUUUCCAACCUUAAUGAUUCAGUGAAAACAGUCUCCAGCUCCAUAGCAUCCUGCAGCCUGCCCUGGGAACAGUGAUACCUGCAGCUGACACUGAGCCAGAGAUAGCAGCAUCUCAGUGCUUACCCCCAGGCAGAAAGAACUCUGCACUGCACUUGCUUCUCUGUGACUGUCAGCUGCAGCCUGGGCAGAGCCAGCAGCCAGGUUCCAGGGAUGCCCAUGUGCCUCCCAUCUAUCCCAUGCCUGGCUGUGGCAUUUAAAGGCAGUGAGCACACAGCAGCAAACACAGUGCUGCAGUGCUGUAUAAUUUUAGUGGCCGCUAAGUAACACUCGUAACUUUUUUAACACAAGGAGCAAGAAUUUACAGUGCCAUUCAUGGGGGGGCUGUUGUAAUUAAUUGGGGCCCUAAGUGACCCAAGGCAUUUCCCCAACCUUCUGGCACCGUGGGAUGGAUGGGAGCUGCAUGCUGUGCUCACCGCUGGCUCCUGCUUGCAGCAGGGAGGGGAGCAGCAUUCUGCAUUUCCUGAGUAUAAAAGGCUGAGGAGUCCCCGUGACAAGCAAACCAUUAAAAAGAAAAAGGAACAAUAAUGCCAAGCAAAAUAUCGCUUCGGGGAAAAAUUUUGGCUUGCUUUUAGCACAGAUGUUGAUAUUGCAUGCUCAGAAAUGGCUCUGGAAAGUGGCAACGCUUUUGCAGUGUGCUAUGAGAUGGUGCACGGAGGCAACGAGCUGUGCUUCAAGGGGAGGAAUCGGAGCAUUUGAAAAUUAAAAGAAAUAAAAAGGAAAAGCCUUCUGAAAGAGAAGUUGUGAGGAGAGCUUCCGCACACUACAGCCCCCCCAAAUUAGUCUGUGGAGAACUGUCCUACACUUCUCUGCUCCAGCGGCAGUGGGCUCUGACAGGAGGAGGAUGCAAACAACAUAUGCGGGCUCUUUGGCUCCAGGCAAAGCUCUGCCAGAGCUCCCGAGGGUAAGCCCUUACCCAUAGAGAGCAGACACCCAUCCCCUGGAUGCCUGUGAAUGCAGUGAGGCCCCCUCCUGUGCCCUGAGUGCCUCCACAGUAUGUAAAGAGGUGUUUUUCACAUGAUGGGUGUCCUCAUUUCCAGCCCUGGAGUGCUCAGGAGGAGGGGAUCCCGGUGCCUUUCCGGGAUGAGGGAGGUGCAGGUCAUGGUGGGGUACAGUUUUUGGGCAUCCAAUGGCAGUGUGUGGCAAUGCUCGUGCAUCGUGCAGAGGUGAUUGCUUUGCACUUUGCAUAUUCCCUCUGUGCAAUGCGCUGGGAUUUUUCAUUGCAUCCAUAAUUCAUAUCCUGCUGCAGCAGUUCUAUGGAGGCAGCACAGGAUCUCAGCUCCAGCAUUAAGCAGGGAAGGAGAUGCUCUCAUCACCAGACAGCAAACCGGGCAGCUGGGGUGCAAAGAGCAUCUCUGCUCUGCACCAAUUGUCCUGCAGGCAGGGAUGCAAGCAGACAGUGAGAUGAGAGUGCCAGGGGUGACUGCAGGAUGGGUAGCAGCACAGGGCUGCCUGCUUGUCCUGCCCAGCCCUGUUUUACACAUGCAUGGCAUCAUGCAGUGCCAGAUGCCGGUGCACCACUGGUUUUUGUGGUAAAAAUGCUUUCUGGCCUGGAAGGUCACAGCCUUUGCUCACAAAGCCACCCACGAUCCCUCCCAGGCUGUGAGGCUUUCUCCUGCAUCUCCACUGUAACACAUGCACUGAAAAACCCUGUUUGUCAGAAAGCAAAGUGUGUCGGGAGAUUAAAAUGUAAAUGUUGCGCUCGGCUUUUCGGAGGGGGGCUGCUGGUUUAUUUGUGACGCUGCAGGAAAUAGGUUUUUGAUAACUGCAGAACUUCUCCCCAGCCGCUGCUGCAAACAGCCAAAGCCUCAAUAAAUAACUCCUACCGUUGAACACCAACGUGCUCAUGGUCUGGAGAAGUGCUGGGAAUCAUAGAAUCAUAGAACGGCUUGGGUUGGAAGGGACCCCAAGGAUCAUCAAGUUCCAACCCCCUGCCACAGGCAGGGCCACCAACAUCCAGAUGUGUUAUUAGGGGAGCUGUGAUUGAGGUUUCCUGCCCUUCCUUGGGCUGGGAGGGGUGCUGCAGAAGGGCCCCUUAGCAGUGCUGACUAUAACCACCGUAUAUUCAGUUUUUACCAUUUAUUGGCUUGGGAAUCUGGGGAAAGGUCUCUGCAGGUGUGGUAUGUUGUACUGUGUGAGGGUCACUCGUGAGCAUCAGAAUGAGGCGCUGAAAGAGAGCAUGGAAGGGGUUUGCAGGGUUUUGGCAUCCCCAGUGGGCACGCAUUUAGAUGUGUGAACCUUGGGAUAAGGAGCUCUUGGAUCACGGCUCUCACUUUAAAACUACAGCCAGCAUCAAUAUUCAUGGCUUUAAUACCAAAAAGGAUGCAAGGCUAAAUGAAGCAGGCUUGUGUAGUACACGGAGUAACCUGAACACGACUGCUGCGUUCAGGAGCGACCAGUGAGUCAAAAAUCUCUCCCAGCAUUAAUCUGGCAAAUGAUUUCAAACAAUGGAGAUGGAUAUGAGGAAGAACAGACCCCAUGCUAACAGAGCCUGAUCUGUAAACUUGGCUACUGACUUUGUAUCCCUUAUGUAAACUCGGAAGAGUAACGUAUUUAUAGCCUCUUGACGUAAGUAUCCCCUGUGAAAUAUGGGAUGCAAUAAAUAUUCUGCCAUCUCAGGAAGCCUUUAGGACCAAACAGUACCGAGAUGCUGCAAAGACAAACCCUAUGCAGCUAACGAGUGUUGGGGAGCUGCCAGCCAGCUGAAAACAUCGCAAGUGAAAGCAUGGAAACAGCCUUGCUGGUAACGCGGGGAGAGUUUUAUUGACACAGUCACAAUGCAAGGUCACUGCAUAAUGCCUUCCAGCUCUUCGUGGCACCUUAACAAAUCCCUUCCAACCAUCAGGUUGGGGUUUGGUCAGCUUUAUCCCAGCGUUUUGUUGUUGGUCAAUAAUUUCCUUCUGUUCUUUUUAUGGUUUUUUUUUUUUUCCCUUUAUGAUGUAAAGAUGAGCUCUGGGCCCCUCUCCCUGUCCCAUGCUGCCAGCACUGCUUUUUACAGAAUUACAAAUUACGCAGCACUUCCACAUUAAAACAAAAUGAGUUCAUCACUGUUUUUAAAUAAGGAUGUCAUUUGUAAAUGCUUUAUUCAUAAUUAAUGGAAUUAUUGCUGGGUGCAGCCACAUUCCUCAUCCAUGUACUAUAAGAUCUGUUGUAAAGUGCAUUAGUAAAAAGCUUUAUAGAUGGGGAUAUGACAAGCUGACUGCACAGUAUGUUAUGGGAUGCGGUGUAGCAUUGUUGUAACAAUCUCUAUGCUAGAUUUUAAGCUAUCAGUCAGCUGGGGGCUGAUGGAUAGUGUAAAUGUUAAUAAUUAAUAAUAGGAUAAUGUUGAUAACUAAUUAAUAGUAAAUGAUGAGUAUGGAUUUUUUUAGUUAGCAUUAUGCUAAUAUGCAUUAUUCACUGAAUCAUAAAAUCAUGUUAGAGAUGAGAAAGUCUCGCUGGCUGUCUCCAGCUCUGUCACUCAUGAGUGAAUGCUGCUCUUUCAAAGCAUUUUCCAAAUGGCAAUUUUCCUCCAGCUUUCUGGCUCAAAUCACUUGGCUAAGAAGCAUUUAGAAAAAGAAACACAACGUCAGAGCUCUGCAUAACUGUGCACCAGAGUAAUGUGUAGCCACGGCCUUUGGGAUGUGCGUAGGACAAACCUACCUGCCCUAAGAGUGACCCGCUGCCUCUACAAGGAAAUCAUUCACAAUGAAGGAAUCAGCUCUGCAGAUUUCUUUCAAUCCUAUGUGGCAUCCUCCUGCAAUUUAAAGCCAUUAGGCACGCUUACCUUACAGUGAGGGUAAGAGAAGGUCCUUGGGCUGGGGAGCAACACAGGGGUUGCGUGAAGGUGGUGAUGCAGCAGAAAGUUUAGCAGAGAGCUUUAAGGGUGGCUCAACACCAUUUUCCAUCAUUUUUUUUUCAGCUGGCGUUAUCUCUUUUUCUAUGUCCUAGGCAGGAUCAAAGCCGGCUUGACAUCAUGCUGGCUGCUCAGGGGAUGGGAAAUGCCGAAGGCAGCAUCAACUCUGGGAUUUAGAGCUUUAUGCAGUCCAAUGGCCCUGGGAGGUUCCCAGCAGGGAUAUCCCCAUCUCCAGCCUCGUUGUGGCCCAUUCAUCUCAAGCUCAGGUGGGUUUCCAGAGCACUGAAUCCAUCACCUGGCUCAUGUCUGUCCUCACUGGACCAAAUGGGUAGUUCUCCAUCUCUGGUUCCAAAGACUGAGAUUCUGGAUAGCUCCUUCCUGGUGCUCAGCUGAUUUGUAGAUAACCACAGCCAAAGGCAUAAAGUAUAUUGAGCACUCUGGGGUUCUCAUGUCCUUGAUGAGGAGGGAUGCUCUUGUACCUUCUUACAAAACUGGUUCCUUAAACCAUGUCCAUACCCGCCCAGGUUCCCACCCUCUGACAGUGCAUGAGCAUGUCCUAAGGACUAGUGCAAGAGCAAACCUUGGCAAGCUAACCAAUGAUAGGUGAUGCUGAUGUUCUCUUGUUGAAGGAACUAAUACAGGGAGUUUUCUUUUGAAAAAUGGGAGUCCUAUGAGUUGAUCUAGCUUGCCUUUCCUAUCCCUCUUCCCUUCCCUGCCUCUCAGAUUGGGUGUUUGGCUUUUCAGCGCUUUCACUCAAGCCAAAUCUGCAAGCACAUUUUUGGGUGGAUGUCACCAGGAUCCACUUCCUCCUGGCCCACAGACAGUCUGUCUCUUAUCUCACUUACAUUAGUAUCAAUUAUUUACAGCAGUAAUGUUAAAUCAUGAAAACGAGGUUGCAGCAAAGCUGUGCCUUGGCUAAUGCCCCAUGCUGCCUGCAGCUUUUGGAGCCCUUGCGUUGUCUGCAUUUAACCUUCCAGAGAUGUGAUCCUAGAUAUAUUCCAUAUCUCAUGGCUGCAGGUUAGAGCAGGGGCAAGGCACUCACAUCCUCUAUGGCAUUUCUCUCCUUCCUUCUACCAGUGCCAUAGCACUUCUCAUAGCCUAUCAUUUGGGGGAAAGAAGCUCCCUCUGUGUUCACUCUGAUGCCAUGAGCUCUGAGCAGCGUGCUCAUGUUGGCACACAGUCCCUCACCAACUCCUUCAACAACUGCCUGCAUAAGGGAUUUUUUUUUUUGAUUCAUAGUAUUUAACCAUGAAUAUUUAAAAUCUCUGUUAAAUAGGGUUGUUAUACAGCUUAGAACAACAUAAAUACAAGUGUCUGGGCUUUACUUUGGAUCCAGGACAGCAGAAGUGCUUUACCUCUGAUGGAAAGUGCACCACUGAGUGAGGUGACGCUCAGUCUCCUGACCUUGGAACAGUGCCUACUUUUAGACUUCCAGUAACUCAGUAUUUUUCAGCUAAAUCCCUGCUUGCACCAGAGGAGCAAUCCUUUUCUAGCUGUGCUUCAACUGCUCACCUGGCACAUUCCCGCUCUGCUAGCUGCAGUUCUGGGAAGUGAAAAGAAACCUGAGGAGGUAAAAAGAAUGAAAAAAAAAAUGAAAUUUGGAUGUAGAUACUGUGCAGGAAGUGAGGUGACCCCUAAAUCAUAGAAUUAUGGAGUCAUAGCACCAUUAACAUUGGAAGAGACCUCUGAGAUCCCCAAGUCCAACCCCACCCCAUCCCACAGUGCCCACUGCCCACGUCCCUCAGUGCCACAUCUCCACACUUCCAGAACACCUCCAGGGACAGUGACUCCACCACCUCCCUGGGCAGCUGUGUCUCUGCAUCACUGUUCUUUCUGGAAAGAAAUUUUUCCUAAUAUCCAAUCUUAUCCUUCCCUGGUACAACUUAGACAGCUGCCUGCAUGGUCCUGUUGAGCUGAGGCAGAGCUUGCCUUGGCCAGGCCUUUCCCAUUGCUCAGGGGAUGCUGAGGCAUUGAACAAGCUCCGAGCUCAGCAGGUUCUCUGCUGUUGCUCACCCAUGGGAUUUAGGGGAGAUGCAGGUGUCCCCUACAAGGGAGGAUGGAGAACAGGAAGACUGUUUUAAUUUUGAGCUCCUGUGAGUCACUUCAUUAGCCCUGCCUCUGCUUGACCCUCCUGCUGUUAUAUCAGCCUGACUGUUUAUUUUCCUCAUAAAACUAAAACAAGAUCGAUUGCUUUGUCCCGAGGCCCUUUAUGCGUCUUGGUGCCCACUGCAGCCCUGCCGUUAGCAGCAGGCCUAAUGCAAAUUGAAUCUUUGGGAAACGGGCAGUUUGGAGCUGCCCAUCUUCCUCCUCUUUCCUGCUUAAGUUUCAUCUAUUGCAUUUAAAAUAGAAACUUUAUCUAUUUAUUCUAAACAUAAAUAUGCAUUUUUCUUGCUGUCUAUAUGUGCACGGCGUGUCUCUGUUGUAGACACAUAUAUGCGAUCAAUAACCAUCUCUUGCUGGGGAUUUAAAUAUUAGUUUUCCAAAUCCAGUCUAGAGCAUCAGAUUUAUUUUUAUGAAAAUAUACCCUUUCUUGCUUAAGGAGGGAUAUUAAUUAUAGAUGCAAACCCAUAAAUCUUCCGGAUUUAGGUGAGAUAUUUGCUGGAUUAUAAAUAUGAAUUGGAGAUGAGGGUCUUGCUCUUCCUAUUAUUACUAUUAUUAUUACUUACUGGUUAUUAUUUCGGUGUGAUCAGUAUCUUCGGGUGGGUCAAAUAUUGCUGGGGAAUGGGGAGCUGAGCCUUCAGAGGGUGCGCAUGCUGAAUUCAUUAAAAUGUUUUCUAUUCCACCCUUGCUCUCCACUGCGCUUCGCAGCCCGGUGAGUCAUUAAACACCCUGUUCAGAUCACUUCCCUUUCUCUCCAUCCUUCUUUUGGUACCUGUUUUCAUUGUGCUGCUUUUGCCAGAUCAUAUCAAGCUCCCUAGUGUUUAUUAAUAAUGUCCCACAUGCUAUUGACAAUGUGCUGUUGUUUCCGAGGGUCUGCUUCAAUACCAGUCUUGGGCAGCAGUGAAACCAGCGGCCAUCAGAGAGCCCAGACUCACCCAGGGCUUUGGCACAGGUAACAAUAUUCUGCUCCAUUUAUUAUGACAAAUGUGGGAACAAAAGUAGUGUGCCACAAGGACUGAUCCCUUCCAACUCAAAACGUUCCAUGACUCUAUGAUAAUUGCACGUUUCUUGCUAAUUCAGUGCAAACUGAGAUAGGAGUAAGUCACAGUGAUUCUCCCAGCCUUCACCAAGUGCUCCAAAGCCAAGAGGCAUUUCUAAAUCCCAGUUAACAGGAGUUAAAUGGAAGACUUCACCAAGAACAUCAGGGCUUCCUGGUUCCCUGCUGAUCCUUCAACCAUGGGAUGCAAAAGGUGAGAUGCUCGCGGGCAUUAGUAGCAGCAAGAGGCAUGGAGCAAGGCUGGUGUGCAUCAAGAGAGGUUCCUGCAGGCAGCUCUGGCAGGUGCAGCAAUGUAGGGGGCUGCUGACCAAAGGAAAGCACAUGGUGGGAUCUCAAGUUGAUUUAAUGUAACACCCUACCCUGAAAUUAAUAGGACCUUGCAUGCCAGGACUGAAAAGAUAGGGCACUGUGUAAGGUCUGCUUUUUUAAAUUAGAGUCCCCUGCUUAAAUAAAUUAAGUGAGCUGUCAGUAUAUUAAAUGAUUUAAUGCCUUCUCCAGUUUUGCAGUGGAAUCCUAAUGAAAAUACUCUUCAGUAUAAAACGCUGGAUAAAUUAAAUGGUGAAGUGUUUUAAUAAAUGGUCUGUUGUUAUGGUGAACCACAUUAAAGUAAUGUUUAUCUCUAUGGUAAUGAUGUUGCCCUAGCUUUAAAACCAUUUCUGCUGGUUCAGGCUUCUUCAGAUAAAAUAUAAACGCUGAGUUGUUGUCCAGUUUCAAAAGCAUCUGCACAGUUCCUGGACCCAAACCUGAAAUCGAUGGCAGUCGUGCUGGCUGGCCAACACAGGGCUGGAUUCAAUGGAUUCAAGAGCAGAGGACUCUUGCACAUUUGCUCUGUGAUGUCAGCAGGGGGAUGAGGCAGAGCCUCCAAGCUGCAGGGGUGAGGCCCUACACGUACAUUGGGACGAGUUUGGGUAUUAAUGAACUACAGUGGAACAGUGAGUAGGCUGUGGAGGGGCUUAAAAUCUUUGCUGAUCUCAUUGCAGGUUAAGAUAACAAAUUAUAUCUCUUUUAUAUCCUUUAUAUAAGGUAAAGGCCUGCUUUUAAAGGUAAAGACAUUACGAGAAGAUAAAGUCCCUUUUAUAUAAAUUGGUUAUAAAACAAUUUUUAUUUUCUUGCUUUUGGAUAUCAGUUCUUAUUUGACCUCUUUCACUCAUCACAGUAUUUCUUUGGAAGGAAAAUUCUCCCCUCAUGCUAUUUUCAGAGCCUGAAAACCCAGAAAUAACAUCUUAGUGCCCAAAUUAAUUUUACAUUAAUAAUAAUAGUAUUAAUAAAAUAUACCUGUUUGUCCCCAGCUGCACUGAAAGAUGUCACUGGGGCUUACAAGACAGCCCCCAGGAGAAGCCAAAGGGUAGUUCUGGAGAUGCCCAAGAGUCGUCUGCACCAAAGGCUUUUGUGAGGAACUUCCAUGAAAGGAGAAAUUCCAGCAGCUUCUGAACCACAGAGCCAUUCCUCUGGCAGAGCUGAGGUGCCCAUGAGAGUCACCACUGAGGCUGACCACGAUCCAAAAGGAGGGGGUCGUCCCACUCAGUGCUCAGGGAUGAUGUCUUAAAUACUCAUAAUUAAGGCCAUCAAGAAAUCAGGGGAGGAGAAUCCCGUUCAUGCCGUGUGGGUCUCUGAGUGUUCAUUUAAAGAGUGAUCUUUGGUGGAUCUGAGAUAUACAUAAAAACAAAACAAAAACAAAUCCAUAUGAAUUUGAAAUGGUGAAAGAUGGUGAAACUGCUUCUUAGGAAGUGGUUCUGGUGUUGGUUCUGUCCGUUUAAGAAGUUCACCUGUCCCAGCAUGAAUUUUGCAGUGUCAGCUUGCAGUUACCGGCUCUUUUUAUUGCUCUGUCUGCUCGAUUGAAGAGCUUUCCAUUUCUGUCUGUCUGAGCACAUCUGGAUUGUCAUUAAGCCAUCCCUUAACCUCCUCUUUGUUAAGCUAAGCGCACUGGGGUCCUUGAAUCUGUCACUAUAAGGCAUGUCUUGCAAUGCUUCCGUCAUUCUUGUGUGCCUCCUCGGAGCCCUCUCCCAUUCAUCAACAUCCUUCUUGAGCUGCAGACACCAGAAAUAGCUGCAGGGUCCCAGCAGAUGCUACACCAGAGGUAUUCCACUCUGCUAUUUGUUUGAGCUUCCAGCGCUGUGCUAUAGGAUCCCUCCUCCCCCUGAAUGCCAUGAAAUUCCAGUUCCCAAGUGUGGCUUUGUAUGUGCAUGUGUUGAACUGGGUGGUUUUUUCUUCAAUCUGACUCAGGAGAAGGCUGAUCCUCAGCCCCACCAUGAUCCAAAUCGAACUCAUCAGCGAACUUUGAUUGUAAUUAGUUUUGAUUUUCUACCAUUUUGCUAAAAGUGAUGAACUGAAACACAGCCACUUGUGAUGAGUGUCUGCACGCAGCCGUACAUUUAAACAUAUCAGUGGGGUUUUCAUCCGUUUAGUGCGUGCCGUGUUGAUUUUACAUUGUUUUAGCUUCCUAAUAAAUGAGACAACAUUAAGUCAAAUGCCUUGCAGAAGUCAAACGUAACAGUGUUGAUGAAAUGUACUAAAUCAAUCAAAUCUAUAAUCACAUUCUUGAAAAAUUAUAUCAAUUUCAUUUAAUAAGAUCUAUUUUCCAUUAACUCAUGUUGAUUGUAAUUAAUUAUUCUCCUUAAAUUGUUAUUAAUCAAGUCCCCUAUCAGCUCUUCCAUUAUUUCUCACAAAAUCAACAUCAGAUAAUCAGAUUUAUAAUUACGAGCGACAUUCCUACGCUGGCACAAAGUCAGCAGCACUCGGGUGUGCUGCGUUCUUGGAGUCCGGGGCACGAGUUGGAGCUGGAGGUAUUUCACACAGUCCUAUGACAUUGCUAAUUUACUUAGCUUUUCCCCCGAAAUUAGAGGAAUUAAAUAUUUAGUGUCUGCCUUCUAUGUAUUUUCUAUUUAUCAUCUGCUAUUCUGUCUAGACAACCACACUCAGCCACUGAUAUCUAAAAACCACAUCCCUACUGCUCUUGGCUCUGCUAGCAGAGGUCUCACCUGCUGGCCUUCUGCUUGCUGUUGGUUAACACAUUUUCCCUUUGUGUGAAGGUAGACCUCCCCUUCCUCCCCCCCGAGUCUCUGCUUUAACCAGAAUAACCUUCUCUCUCUGAGCGCUGAGAUUUCACUAGAUGCCCUAAAAGCCAGAGUGCUUUUAAACAACGAGUUGCCAAAUAUCACACACAUUUUCUCUUCAAAAUCCUCCAAGUGACCUGGCUUACAGUGUUGAAAAGAAAAAGUGUCUGCUAUCUGCUCAGGCUUCGUUCCAUCUGAGCCCUGCACAUAAGGUGGAAAUGGCAUCCCCUCCGUGUUGGCUGUAAGUGGUUUUUAGAGCUGCGAUCAGCUCUUCAGCUGUCAAGACCAUCCUGCAGAGAAUCCUCCUGAUUUUGGUUAACAACGGCAUUUAUAAAUUCCCAAAAUUGGCAACACAAGCCCUCCAGCUCACAGCAUUCAAGUUCAGGUUUUCCAAGACACUCUAUAGGAAUUUUCCUUAAAUGUUUCUGGUUUCUGGUGAGAUUUGAGCAGUGUCAUCCAUUGGCUUUUACUUGUACUUGAGGUCACUUUCUCUUGAGCUCCCAGUGACUUGGAUGGCGGCAAUGUCACUUCUGGUAUUGAUUGUCCCUCCUACACCUUCUUUGCCCACUCAGUUUCUUUUUUUUGCAAAUAGGUUCCAGCUAUUGAUUUUAAUAUUCCAGGCACAUGGAUUUUCUCCCCAAGUUUAAGUCAUGCUCUCCAGAUAGAAUUUGUACUCAUAAAUUAGUCGUUCCCACUCUUUUUUAUGGCUCAGCCUUCCUGCGCUACCGUAGAGGCAAUUAAAGUUCUUCUCCUCGCAUCCUUUCGUGUGUUCAUUAGCUCUCUCCUCAUCAUUUUCUUCCUUGAGCCAGAGACAGGGACGGGUGCGGAAUGAAUUCUGUUUCCUCAUUGCUUUCCAGUGCCUGUAUCUCCAACCCAGUCCAAGCAUCCCUCCCAGCAGAAAAGCUAGAGCCCAAAGAGCCAUUGGGAGCACCACAGCAGAAGGGAAAACCUUUGCUGAUCUCAGCACUGACAGGUUUUGGUGGCAAUGAGCUGAUGGUUGGACUAGAUGAUCUCAGUGGCCACUUCCAAAUUCUACAAUUCUAUGAUUUUGGGGUCAUCAUGGAUGUAGAAUGAUUCAAACUCCAUUGUGCAACAGUAUCUGAUCUCCCAAAUUCUCCUGGCAGCCAAUUCCCCAGCUCAGCCCUACUGCAACUGCUCCCCAGACACACUGAACCACAAGGAAAAGCCAUUUGGAUUGUGCUCUCUUGCUUUCAUGUCCAUGGGGGAUUUCCUGGGAUUUUGCAAGCCCCAGGGAUUGAGGGCAAAGCCAACAGAGAAGCAGACCUGUGCUUAGGGCACCUGCACAAGCUAGCCUGCAGGCUUACAGCUUCACUGUGGUUUGAGGUUUGAAGGUUUCCUAUCAGCUGCUCAUCUCCUGCCUUUAUGUAACAACAAUAACAAAACACACAAAAAUAUCCCUCAGAAAAUCCAACCGUCUUUGCUCUUGCAGGUCCUGAACUGUUUGCCUCUGAGGGCAGAACACAGACUUUGGAUGGUUUUGAGAAGUCUCCUGUCUGGGUGGUUUUAUUUAUAUCUGAUGCAUUUUAAUGCAGAAUGGGCAGAAAAGAGAUGCUUCAGAGCAAAGUCAAAGCAGAGCAGUUCUGCAGGUCCGGCCCUCACUGGGUUCAGUGGUGGGAUGUGCUCAUCACCCCCUCUUCAAAAUAACCCCCCACGUCUCUUUUCAUCCAACAAAACAUUUAGGUGCAUAUCUGCGAGUGAAGGAGUACAAGAGAAGGAAGCAUAAGGCUGUAAAAUAAACACUCUACAAAAUGCCUCCAGGUUGCUCUAAAUUAUGCAUCCUUCCUGUUAGGAGAUGUUCAAGGUUGUCUUUUCCUGUGAACAGCGCUCCUCCUGGGUCCUCACCUUCAUUUGCUGGGAUGCCUCUGCUCUGGGCUUGCAGUUACGUCUCCUUCCCUUUCGCUGCCUUUACAACCAUUUCUUUGCCGCCUUUUAUAAUUCAGAACACGACAAAUGAAUUCCCACCUCAGCUCAGCACUCAGAUGAUGGGAAAGGGAUAAACGGUCCCUGGUAGCAGCUCAGUGCACGGUGAGCAUCACUGCAGCCCCGUGCGGUGUUUUUUCCCUGCGCACAUGCAGGACAGACGGGCGCAGGAGUGGAGCGAUGCUCACAGCCCCAGUCCCUGGUGCAGAGCUGGGAGCAUCAGUGGGGCAAACCGUGGCCAAAAACACACGGACUCUUCUGGGAAACGGCCCAACCCUCUCAUUUCUGUAAUGUGAUUGGCACAUGGCUUGGUUUUGCAUUCUGUUUCUAAAGGAUAGCUGCUAUUCUUUUUAUUAAAACCUCUAAAUUUCAUUAGUUUGCACUUACCAAAAUAAACCUGGCAUCACUAGUGAGCUCUCCUGCGGCCGUGCCAUCGAUCUGAUGCAGCCCCGCGUCACACCUGGCACGGUGACAGCCGCGUCCCUCCAUGCUGAACACAGGCACCCGCUCUGCCUGGAGGCUGAGAGGCAUUUUCAUGGAGUUCUGUGAUGAGGAACUUUGCUUCCAAGUUUCAAGGGGGAAAAAAAGAAAAAAAGAAAAAAAAAGAGAGAGAGAGAGAGAGAGAGAGAGGUUGAUUGUAAAUUUAAUUCCUGUAUCUUAGUCAUUUCUGGGCCAUGGGUCAUUAGGCACACAUUAGUGCUGCUGGGCAUUUUUCACAGGGGCUGCACCAGCAGAAAGGAGCUGGGUUUUGCAAAGCCAAGGGUGUGAGAGAGAUCCGUGUGCAUGAGAAAGCUCAGUCCUGUGCUCAGCCCCGCAGUGCUGGGAAGUUCCCCCAAAUACUCCCGGUGUCCGUCUGUCCGCAGCCAUGACAAACAGCCCGGGGAAGCAGGCUCCUUUAAUGGGCUCCAGCAUUUUAUUUAUAGCCCCUUCGAAUAAGUGCAGCUGAUACUUAAGAUCGGCGGAUUUAAUGACAGCGAGCUGGCGAAAGGCCAGGGCUGCAAAUAGCGCCGCUAAAAGUCUUCUCCGCUAUAAAAUUUGUUUAAUGCAAGAAAUCAUCCCGUGCAGGUUUUUUGGCUGGCAUUUUUAUAAUUAGCGGGUGAAAUCGCCAUUUCGCCCCUACGAUCCGCCAGCACUUUAUGGGAUGGGGCUGCCUUGGAGAUGGAUUGUUGUGCUGGAAGAGGCGCUGAAGCUUUGCCACUCCGUAUCAUCCCACUCUUCCUCGGGGACACCCAUGUAUGCCCACUCCCAGCACCUUUCCCUUCCCUCCAGGUGUCAUCUCUCCGAGGUUUGACCAAGAGCCCAUCACACUAAGUGGUAAGGCAGCACGGCUGGGAGCUGGGAACUUUGGGAUCUGUAGACAUGCACUGAAGCCACCACACUUGGUUGGUGUUUGAUAACUUCGCCGCUUUUCACUAAGGAGCCCUCAGGUGAGCGCCUGCCGUGGGGUUGUAGAGGUGGGGAGAUGUCUUCUCUUCCAGCACAGAGCCCACCUGGCUCACAAAGGGCUUUUCUGGGUGUUGUACAGGAUGGCUCUCUCUAAAGGAGCAGUGCCAUAAAAAAAAUAUCUGUUUGAGAUAAUAAAAGGCAAACAAAACGCUGGAAAAACAUUGAAGGGUUGGAAAUCCUCCUAGGUUUUGCAGUUAAAUUUACCGAUGCACUCAGGAGCUCUCUAUGAGCUUCCCUGGGAAUCCAGAGGACAUGGGAUUAUCCUGAGCAUCUUGAUGGGAUAUUUUUCCCUGCUGUUUGCACCACGCGAUAAUGUCCUCUGGACCUCCUGCCCUGCAGAGAUUUCGGCCCAGCUCUCUCCUGUACAAAGAUGAACCAUGGGUGAGCCCUGGCCAGCUCUGUGAUUUAGAUUUCCCAUCGCUUGUCUGCGAGCUGGGCUGAUAUUUAUGGACAUGCUCUGGAUCGGAGGUAAAAUGCUGCAUCUUUCAUGGAAGCUGUGAGAGGUAAUUAGUAUCUGUCCUGUGGGAUGGGGCUUAAUGUUGAGACUCUUCAGGAGGGCUCUCGGUGUUCAAAGACUUAGCACCUUGCUGAACUGGGAUCUGAAUUCACAGGAUGCAUUAAAGCAUAAUUUAAGGAUGAAAAAAGGCGGAGGAAAGAUAAUAAUUAGGUGGAUUGUGCCCUUGUGAGACACCGCAUCCCUAUUUCCAAGUAAAAACUGCGUGUAAGAGAGGCACUGUGCUGGCUGCAGGUGUCUCCAGACCUUGAAAGGUCUUGGAACAAAACUCCUGGAGGGCUGACCCCCAUGGGACUGAGACUUGCAGCUUGAGAUCCCUCAUUUCAGGUCAUGGCUCCUUCUGCUUCUCUUAGCGAAUGUCAUAAAUACAGAGGCUUUGCCCCAAAAUUAUAUGCACAGAAAUGGAGGACUAUUUGAGGGCAUGAAAUAACCUGAGUUUUUCUGGCCCAGACGACUAAUUGCACAUUAUUCACCCAGUUCUGGUAGGGUGUCCGUUUUGCUGGACUAAACCCCAUCAUAUAAUAACCUCUUAGCCUACUGGGCUCAUCUCCAGAGCUCAAAGCUCUUCCGUUUCCUUGCCUCUCUUCUACCACUUAUUUAAUUUAUUUCCCAAAAAAUACUGAAAUAAAAGGAUUUUUAAACCAGAAUAGGACAGGACUCUUUCUUUGCAGUGCACAGUUUGCUGGGUAUGGCUGGAGAACCUGAACUAUUGUCAAGAAUGCCACUCAAAUUACAAUAUAAUUGUCUGGGGAAAAAAAAAAGUUCUGGCAGCUAAUUCUGAUUGCAGUGCACAUUUCUGUGCCUGUGACAAAUGAUUUCUAAAGUUAGCCUCAAGGACACCGAGCUUCCAAGAGGUCACCCAUCCACACUGUUUAUUUUACUUGCCAUCCUAAAAUAAGUUUUAAAAAGUGAAAUUAACAGCGAAGGGAAAGAAGGAAGAAAACUGUUGAUGGUGGGGAGAAGAUUGAAGUGUUUUGUUUUAAAAGGAGCGAUGCUCGGGACCAUAAAAUAUGAAAUACAGGGGGGGAAGCAGAUUUGGGGCUAACCUACAAUAUCGCAUUAGGCUUUAAAGCCGUUCCAACAGACUAAGCAUUUGAGAAAGAAUUGGAGCUGCUUGUGAUAAGUUGCUCCUCUUAUCGGCAAACUGUCAUCUGUCUUGGGAGAGAACAUUUUGUCCACCCUACCAAAACAAGUCAGAAAAAUUGGAUAAAAACAAAAAUAUAAAUCAGAAUGGGAACUGGGAGCCGAACUGAAAUGAUGGCAAUUUCCUGGCAAGGCUCGCUGGACGGCUAAAUGUCAGACGUGACAGCAGGAAUUAUCCCUGCGAUGCGGGGUCAGGAGCGAUGUGUGCGGGUGGUGGGCAGAGCACGGCCACUGCGGGACACGGCCUCGGGUUGGGAGGGCUGUGCAUGGGGUGGCACGGGGGUCUCAGGGGAAGCAAAACAUGCAGGGGACAUGGGCACAGUGUGGUGGCAGCCCCUUGGAAUCUGAGCUGAGAGGCGAGGUGGGCUAUCCAUAACUGCCCGAGCAUUGAUUGGCGGUGCUGGCACUGCCCAGAGCUUGGGGUGUGCAUCAGAAUGAGAAGGGAAGCAGCAGGGCCCUGGGACAUCACCAUGGGGAUGGUGGGAUCCAAACCUGCCCUGCCCCACAGAUGUGCCUGAGUGCUUUUCUCCUUCACUGAAUGCCAUUGUCCCCCAGCAGCAGCCAGGCUGAUAUCACCGGAGGCAAGACCUGAAUCAGACGCGGAGAAAUCAGCUAUUUAAAUGCACCGGAGUUGCUGCGCUCCCAUUAAACCCCAAGAAACCCAAUUGCAGUUUGGAGAUAGAGGUACAGCGAGAGGAGGUGUGGGACACACUUCUGCACAGUCACCUAAUGGGAAAAGACAGAGCCUGGGCAGAAGUGAGUGAUAAAGGAAUGGCGAUGUCCAAGGCUUGCACAGCUCAGUGCUGCAGCAGCACCUAUGAGAGCAAGCAAAGGAAGAGAUGCUGUCUCUGGCAAGGGAGCAGCUGAAGAACUGCUGUCCUGUACUUUAGAUUUGAAAAGUAUAUAUAGUUUUAAUUAUUAAUGACACAUCAGUUUGAUACACGUGACAAUGAGGCAGCAGAGAUGCUCCAUAGUUUUGCAUGGGGUUUGUGGCUGCUCAUGCAAACCCACAUGAACGAGCAAUAUCCGAGCCUUUGCUUCAGCUCAGCUCAGAGCAAAGUGUCCCAGCACACAGGACUGCCUUGCCAGGUGCUGACAGCCCUCCCGCAUGCACACAACCAGUGCCUUGCUCAGAAAGACUGGAGGAGGGGGAGUGGAAUGAGGGUCAGCAAUUUGCUCCCUGUUGGAAAUAUCCCAACAGCAAGGAUAUCAAAGCUGCCCUUUAAGCAGAAGCUGAUGAAAAGCUGCUACAAAUUAAUCUCUUAACAUUUUAAUUUAAUGCACGUUUUGUUCCAAGAACAGGGGUGAUCCAGGAAAGGGUUAAUCCGAGCUGUGCACCUAGCACAUCCACACCAGAUUUGCAGCAGUGUGGGUAUAUACAUGCAUUUCUAUCACAUACACAGGUAUUUCUUUAUCAGAGGCAUGUGGGCUGGACAGCAGAUGGGCUCUCCUCUCACCACGGUGGGGUGUGGGAUGCCACACAAAUUCCAUCAGGGCGACCUGCAGCCCAUCAGCAUUGCAGCAUCACAGGGAGCCCCAUGGGAGCAGGGACACUUCCCAGCAUCACUCAGAGCCACUUCAUUGGCUUCUUUAUUUUUAUUCUUUUUCAUGUUGUGAUGCCCUAACGUCAUUGUUGGUGGGAAAGAGCUGAACAACAGACAGGUUCUGACCAGUCCCUCUCUGCCAUCAGUCUCACAGCAUAACCGAACUGCUUUAGUUGCACUUAAUUGUGCUGUUUGUUUGUUUCCAUGUUGUCAUCAGACAAUAAAUCCAAAGCAAUCACUGUCCAAAUUUUUACAGUUUUCCCAAAGGGAAUGUCAAUUACCUUUCCCUCCCAGCACCGCUGACCUCUGCCACAUACAAAUCCCACUUUUAUUCGGAGAAAUGCAGCCACUUGCUCCAAUUAUUCAGCCUGCACUCUGAGGUGAGCAUAAAAAAAGAGUGUUCAGUAGGUACAUCCAGAAAGGGCUGGCUUAAAUCAGUAUGGCUGUGACCCAAGGCAUGAAAUACAGCCCCUCACACACAGCCUAUGUGUACGGAAGGUUAGCUGGAGGAGUGGGACGUUGCUUCAAAACAACCCUGGAGGCCUCAGUUUGGGUGAAAUCUCCAUCUGAGGGAUUACUUCUGUUGCUGAGGAUUUGCCUGUAGAAAACCUUGCCAUGACCCUUGGGUCAGGGGCAGCCUCGGAGCCCAUCAAGGGAUGCAGGAGGGAUGGUGAAGUGGCACCCUCAGUUUCCAAAGGGGAAAUGCAGUUUGGGACAGGAGGAGGGUGGAGGAGAGAAGGCUUCCUCCUCUUGCUCUUCGUUUCCUGCAGGGCCCAGGGGACCUCCUGGUGGGGCAUGACACAGGGAAUUGCCCAGGGAAGGAAUAGCUUCAGGUGAUGUUCCUCUCAGCAGCUGCCCUCCUCGUGCUUCACAUCGCUCCAUCCCUGCCUGGCCUUCUCUGUGCGCUGCCAAGCUCUCCGCAUUUAGAUGCCAGCCCACCUCUAUUCUCCACCCAUCUCCUUGGAUCAGCCACCUCAACCACAGAGCCCUGUCAGGGUGCCAGCAGGUGCAGGACCUCCCCAUGGCAGUGGGCAGCAUCACCACCCCAUCCCUGGACAGCCACGAGCCACACAGGAUUUCUGCCUGAAUUAACCUUCAUUAUUCAAAUCCCACCCAGAACACAGGAGCUAAAAGCUUUCAGCUGGAAUUGCUCUACCGUCUGCCCCAUGCCAUGGGCAGGGAGGAAGGAUGACGUGCACCAGGCUUCUUUAUGGGAGAUGCUGCUGCCUAAAUAAAAAAGUCAAGUCCAUAAAGUGAAUAUUAUUGUGCUACCUUGUUUCUCCCCAGCAGUGAAGCAAUGCAUGCCAAUGGGCAGAGCGAAUAGGAGGAAAUAGUUGGGUUGGUUUUCCCUCUCCUCGUGAAUUGGGGGACAUUUUGGAAGGGGCACAAAGGUUUCGGGGGCAGUUGAGUGCUUUUGUUUUCCUUUUCUAAAUAAACCACGGAUCUGCACUGCCACACACUCCCCCCGUGGGGUCACGAAGUGUGCUGCAGAAUAAAAACGGAGCUUUCUGUGAUAGUGCACUUGCCCUUCAGAGCCGCUUGGAUUGCAUCAAAGGGCAAAUUGUUUAAAUAUAAUUUUCCUGAUUACUGAAUAGGUCGACCGAACAGGAUAUGAAAUGCAAAGGCUUUUCUCAUCUUGCUCUUUGCAUCAUCCUAGGGCACACCUCGCUACAGGUGCUGCCUGUUGGCUCAAGGACACUUCCAGGCGGCAGAAUAUCAAAGGAGCAGGGAUGGACAGCCCAGUGCAUCCUGCACAUUUUAAAUUGCUUAAAAAGACUCUUUUGCAAAGGGAGUCUGAGGCAGGGACCGAAAUCAGUGCUCAGCAUGUGGAUUAGACAAACAGAGUGGUCAUUAGCGCUGAUUGUCAUUGUCACACAAGCACAGACUGUUAAUUCAGCCCAGGAGUCAUUAGAAACGAGCCUCAGCGGGGAGAGGGGUUGGUGUUGGUGUAGAUGCUGGAUGGUGGCUCUGCUGGCUUGGCAGAACAUGAAGGAGACCCCUGAGAUCCUACACUGCUCCGGUUGUAAAUUCCAAAUGGAAACUCCCAGGAAUUUGCCAGGAAAAGGAUAAUCACUCAUUAUUCUCAUUUGUGGAAAGCUGUUUAAACCCAGCCCUGCUUUUCUCUCCCCAUUCCCAAGCUGAGCUCAUCACCUUUCUGAGAAGCCACGCUCUUCCAGGACAGUGUCUCCUCUUCCAGCGGGCUUUUGCCCUGGCUUUUCUCCUGGGUCCAUUUGGGAGGGUUCCAUCUUUGCCCCAGUGCUUUUGCCAGUGGCUGCCACCAUCCAGAGAGAUAUUCAGCCUCAAGGAGUCCCCAGCAAAGAGCACCCACUGCCUUCCAGCCUCACCCCAGCAGCAGCGUUGAGGUCCCACAGCUGCAGAGCAGCGCCCGUUGUGCUGUGUGGGUGCCCCUUUAUUGGAGUUCCUCCCACCACGUGCUUGUAAUUUAUUUGUAUUUCCAGCAGAGAUAAUUGAGUUAUCAAUUCUGUGCUCUUUUGGGCCAGAAGCAAAGAGAUCAGAGAGCUGUUUUAUACACCUAAUUAUAGAUUAUUUCCCAUAGCUAUAAAACCACAGAGGGACAGAUCCAGAGAGCAUCCUUUUCAUCUCCACUGACUUUUCCCUUUGCUCUCUCAGACUCGGAUCAGAAGGGCCUCCAGACAAAACAGUUGUCAAAAGCAAGGGCUCCUUAUCUCCUCACAGGACAAAACCUCUCGGCAUCCCAGUAGAGACCGUGCACAGUUGCUUAAAGAUCAAAUUCAACUUAUACUUAACCAAUCUGCUUAAGCCUUUAGCACCUCAUUGAGUCGUGCUGAGAUUUAUUCCGUUUCUGCACACUUUGGCUAUAAUCUGGUUCAUGACAAUGGCCUGGGGGUCUGCUGAGGAUGUAAAAAAUUGAUUUUCUUUGCCACAUGCAGGCUUUGUGGGCUUGCACUUGGCAUGGCCCCUCAUGCCCCUGCUAGCUCCUAUGCUCAGCCUGCUCCCUCCUCCCCAGGCAGCUCUGAGCACCCUGCAGCAUCCGCAGAUCCCGCAGAGCUGCAGUGCAGAGCAGGGGUUGAGGUCCGGCAUACCCGAAUUUUCUAUGUAUGGAAAGAAAUGGGAAGUGUCCGUGCGUCGGUGUUAAGUUUCUGGUGGUGACACGCAGAGGCCAUCCAAGAUGUAUGACCUAGCAAAUGUAUUGUAACGCACACAUCACAUUCGUUCUCUGGGUAAAUAGAUAUUGUCUAGGGUACAUUACAUCUGUGCCUUCGUGUUUAAUUUAAUGUAAGUGAACUGCCUUAAUUUCUCCAAAUUGUAGUAAUAAACAUAACGUUAACGGUGAUACUGCUAAUAAUUUAUUUUGCAAGCGAUUAAUCAACAACAAACUCUUUUAAUUACCUGUUCUGAAAUGUCAAACUCUAAACUAAUUACAUGUUAUUACAUGAAUUCAUGUAUAUGUAUACACAAAUACGAAUUCCAAGGGUAAUUAAAAUGAAUAAACCAUCAGAUUUGGUAAAAUCAUGCAGCUGAGAGAAGUUUGCUCUCCACUGCAUUUCUGCCUCUUUGCAUUUCAUCCUCAGCACAAAGGGAGCUAGAUUCCAAGGCUCUGAGCGAGUCGUUUGUGCUUCUGCAAAAAAAUAUUACCCACAGAAAGUGGCAAACCCCGUGGGAUCUAUGCUGAGAACCACAAGGAAGAGAGGAAAGCAGCUGUGCUGCUCUGCUGGGGGGAGUACAGAGUGUGGGGCUCAUUUGGGUGCUCCCUGUGCAGGGGGUGAAACCAAGCAGGACAGAAGUGGGUGGUGUACAUUUGCUGUACUCAAUAAUUGGCAACGAUUUUUGGAAGGAGAUUGGGGGUGAAAUUAACAGAUUUGGGGCACGACCAAAUCUGUUCUCCAUUUUGUGUCCUUGUUGAGUCUCUCCGUGCAGGCACAACACAGUGCUCUUUGCAACACCCUGGUGACCCCUAGAUGAGAUUUGGAAGACCACUUCUUUGCACUGGCACUCCAGACAUCAUGGCCAAGUGCCCCCAGCAAUGUGGGGCUGUAUGCCAGUGGGUCACGAAAGGAUGGAGACCACCAGCUUGGAGGGUCUGGGAAUGAAGCCUUUAAUUCAGGGGUGGACACUGAGGCAGUCCCAAUGGCUUGCAGCAUGGGCUGGAAGAACAGGAUGAUUAAUGAGAGCAAUGGCACGAAGGAGCCAGGAACUAAGUAAUGAGACCUUUAUUUGAUACAUAAUACAGCCGGGGCCCUCUAUAAAGAGAAUACCAAGAGUAGGGCUAAGUUUCACAGUUCUGGGAAUGUAUCAGGAAGGGGGAAAGCUUUGCUGACUUUGCAGCCAAACGCCUGGGCCAUCCGCAAGUGUUGUUCGCAGUGAGCUUGGGACAUGUUAAUUUGGUCAUAUAUCUUCAGAUGGUGGCAAGAUGCCCUGACUUUUGAUUUACUGUGCUGAGUGGGUCUGUGUGAUGUUGUGGGUUUAAAAUGAGGUGUCCAGAGCCUGAUUCAGUCACAGGAUCACUGAAUUCCAGCUGGGAGAUGAAGAAGCCGUUAUACACACACAACAAGAACUUCCAGCCAAAAAUUACUUAUGGUUUCAAUUAAAGGAGAAGAAGUUGCUGAUUGUUUAGGUAUGGAUGUCAGAAACACAGCAGUUAACAGCAGAGAUGAAUGAGAGAUAGUGAGGUGAUAACUUAGAUAAAUUGGUAUCUCAUCCAUAUUAAGGAGACAGCUCAUCCUCUGGUGCUGCUGGAUGACAUGAAGAGUGGAGUGUAUAUGGAUACUAAAAAACGUUGGUCUUAAAGUUAAAUCCCCAAGAACCAUCAGAAAUAAGUCUCAGAAGCCAAAGUGAGAUCUGAUGCACGCUGCAAAAAUAUGCAGUCUGUCAGGGAACGCUGCUCUCUCCAUAUAACUUCCACCGUUUGUGGGACAAUUAUAGAGAAAAUGAUACUGUGAUCUGUAAAGCAGUUCCUGCAGUGGUUUUAUUCACUAACUCGAUGCCACGCAUAAUCAUAGCCAGUAACAUCUCCAGAGGUGUGUGCAUAAUAGAGAGACAUCAAGUCAAUGAGUCAAAACAUCAGAAAAUAAAAUUCAGAUGAACAUCACUUGCAGAAAUUCUAUCAUCUGUCAUUUAACGCUGUCUGAAGACCUCCACGUUGAAAUAAGGCGUGGAAACCAGAAGUUACCCCAGGCAGCAGUCCUUAGGACCUGCACGGACUCAGGGUUCUCUGCAAGUUGGGUUGAGUGCCAAAGAAGUUCUCUUGCGAUCUUAAAACUCAAGCACCCAAAAAACACCAUAGAGGGGAAGGCAGGGAGCAGGGAGGGUCUGUCCUGCCGUGUCCCCACCUCAGAUCCUGCCCAGCAUCACCCAAGCAGCUGCUGCUGGGAGCGGAGUUGCUCCUGGAUCACCUUAAGGCUAUUUGCAGCUCUUGCUGAUGCCCUUUCAAUACCCAAUCCCGAAACUUUUCAUGCGAGGAAGCUUGCAGGAUGACAGAUUGCACCUUAAAACAAAGAGGUAAUAGCUCUUAGGUCCAGAUCUGUUCUUGGAACUAAAUUCACUGCAGAAGAAGUGUUUCUGCACAACUGCAUAAUGCCUCAAAGUGGCAUUUUACAAUCUUUAAAUUCCAACACCGAUGAAGAAUUCUGCUUUAAACUACUGCAGCAGCCCAGCCCCCCUUUAUUUAUGAGUAAUAGGCUUUUCAUUUAGAUUUAACUACAGAUUUGAGUGGUUUCCAUGUGCCAGGGCUCGGAGUCACACCAGUGUCUCCUGAGGUGGCCGUGCUGUUUCCACAGAGUCACUCGGGAUCCCCAACAAACCUGUCUUUGCAUACAUACGUGUGUAUUUUAUAUAGAUGUACGCAUGCACUUCAUUUUUAAAAAGACAAAGUUUUUAUUCCAGGCUUCAUUUUCCUUUAAACCGUAUGAAGCCAAAGUUCGAAAGGAUGACCCAAAAUUGCCAGUUUGAUUGUAAUUUCCCCCAAAAGAUUUUGGGUUGUAGGUACAUAGAGAACGAUGGCUUUGCUUCCUCCUUUCUGCUCAUCAUCCCAUGCAAUGCUGAUGUGCCAGGAAGCGUGGAUGGGAUCAGGGAGCUUGGUGAGUUUGCCACAUCAGUAGUCACUGAGAGUGCCUGAAGUUUCAUUUUUCAAUGGAAAGCUGCAGUGAAACGAGUAUUUUGCUACUCAUCUUGUUAUUAUUCAUCAGUGCUUCCAAGAACCUCUCAGCCCUUUGUUUCUUGGGAAAGGCAUGGUGCUUAAAGGGGCUGAAAGGUGGAUUUUGUGGAAAGCCCAACCCACAUCUUUGAUCCCAGCGGUUUUGUAAGGCAUUCGUUUUGCUCGCUGGGAAAAUCUCUGCCCUCCCCACUCCCUCACCUCCCUCUCUUUCCCCUCCACCUAAGUUACCUCGUCUGGAUCCGAAGGAACGCUUGCCAUCCUUUGAAGAGGUAGUCUCGUCCGAAAAAUCAAUAGUCAACAUUGUCUUUAAAUAGUCUGACAUUUACCUUUACAGCAGUUUUCAUUUCUUUCCCAGAUUGCUCAGACGUUUGUAUUACCCACACACUACAUCCCUGAUCUCUCGGCCGGGAGCUUUGCACGGAUGCAGCCCCGGUGCUGCAGAGCGGCCACCAGCAAGGAACUGCAGCACGAUAAUUAACAGGACGGGAGCUCACUAAUAGAAGCAUCUUUAACUAAUUUAUGGAAGACAUCAGGUGAGAAUAAUUACAAGCAGAAGGGUAUUGUAAAUCCCUGAAGAAAAUACACUUGGAAUGCAGUUUUCCCAACAAGCAAAUCUGAAUGCUAGCCCAAAGGUCAGAAAUAAAAAGGCUGAGAGCUUCAGCUCCCCGAGCAGGCACCUCUCCGAUCCCUUCUUGUCAAGAAAUUGUCUGGGGGUUCAUUUAGAAAGCUGCUUGUUCAGGGCAGGGCCAUUUGCAAUCUGGGAAAGUUAAGCAAAUUAGCAGAAUUAUUAGGUAAGAGGCAAUUCUCCACAGCCUGCAAGGCAACCGCUUGUUAAAUGAGCUCACACCAGAGAGUUGCACUGAUCGAGUGGUGUUUGCAGAGACGGGGCUGUGCAGGCAUUUGCUCUGAAAUAAUACUGCUGUAUUCCCCUGGAAAAAUUAAAAAAAAAUGGGAAUUUGUGCAGGCUGAGCUGGAAGAUGCCUCUGUCUUCCAUACGCAUUCCUGCUUCUCUGCUCCUUCUGCUAUAAUAAAUAUCAUAAUCCUAGCAAAUGAGAGAAGGAGAUUAACCCGACACCUUUAACCCAGUUACUGCUUAAAAUAGGGAGCAGUGUGGUGCCACGAGGCCCCAAAGCAGGUGGCUCUGCACCCGCUGUCCCCUGGGGCUCAUAGGGACAGCUGUGCACUGCAGCCCCGCUGCUCUGUGCAGUGUUGGGAGUGGGAUCCAACUCAGGUCCUGCAAGGAGCCCACCCAAGGGUGGCUCACACUGCUCACUUGUUUUUCUAUACUCUUUGCCUAUUGAUUUGAUAUUUUUAUACCUUAUACAGUGCACUUAGCACAGAAAAAAAAAAUGGAUUAACCAAGUAAAUGUGCUUUAUUAGCGGAUCUCUGAUGGAGAAUGAUGUCGGUUUUCCAUUUAAAAGAUGCAUCGGAUUCAUCCACUCAUGAAUCAAUUAGUUCAUGCUUGAGGACCUCCUAACAUGCCACAUAAAAAACUCCCAAUGUCAAACUGCACGCUGGGUGGAACAACCAAGGGUUUCAAAUGAAAAAAGUGCAUCACUGGGAAACCUUUGGCUCUUCCACCACCACUAGGAUGGAAGCACUCUGCCCAACUCUUAGUUAACACAUUCUUUCUGUUCCUUGGUUUCUUAAAAUCUUUCUUUUUUUCAAGUUUUUAUUGACAGCUUUACACUCCUCCCUCUGCUAUACAAUGGAGACGGGCACAUAUCGUAAGCCUUUCCAAUGGUAGUUUUGGGGUCAGGCUGAUUAGAUUUGGGAAGUGUCAAUUGUUGAAUGCUGUCCUCCUUCUGUCUGAGACUAACAACUCUCCCUACUCAGAGGGUUGGCCCUCUUUCUGUCCUUCCUGAGGUUUAGGGCUCAUUGGUCCAUGCUCCACACCAUGAAAAGGCACAUACACUUUCCUAGUGAUUCACAUUUCUGCUUAGAUAAGAACCAACAGGCUCCAUCCCACCCUGGAGCCCCUGGGACUAUGUGGAAGGUCGCAGUGUUUAUUUUUGGUCUUGUCCAAUUAAAGACAAUGACCUGGAGUAGAUGAGAUGCCUGGGCAUGCAUUCAUAUCACAGGCAUAAUGCAAGAACCGUAGGCAUUUAAAUGGGAAUUCUUUCUCACCCGGUUAGACCGAUGCGUAAGGAAAUAAUCCAAGUGGGGCAUUGACAAGAUAUUUUUUGUUGUAAGUCUGCAUGCUAAAACCCCUAAAUAAAAGGAUUUUACUCCUUGAGAGAAAGAGGAAAGGCUAUGCACACCCAGCCUGAGGUGUCACUACAACUCAAUGGGAGCAAUGCACGAGCACUGAGCUGCUGGGAUGGCUGCCUGCACAUUGGGUGCCCACACUAUGUACAGAGCAGAGGGCACUGCUUAAACCUCAGUCAAAUAAGUAAACAUGGACAAGGAAGUAAAAACAGACGCACUUUUUUCUCAUUGCUGCGAAGAAUUCAGGCCAUGCAAGCACCAGGGCUGUGCAAAGAAGAGCAACUAUGUUUAAGAGCAUCCUUCUCUCUCUUGGAUGUACAUCCAACAGCAGAUAACAUCACCCAGCCCUUUCUGCUUUUGGAAACCAUGUGCAGCACAACUUGCUGCUCACAUUUAAUCCAAACUGAUGUCCUACGGCUGUCAUAUGCAUGAUUAUGGCAGUCGUUUUUAAUUAGUGAUUGUGUCAAUAGUAUUGACAUUUUCAUCACUUUUGGGGGAAGUAGAGAAUAUUUUCCAGCAGGUGAAGUCCCCUCUUUGCAGUUCUCUUCCCCUCCAGCUGCACCUACUGGAUAAAUGAGCUAUGCAUCUUAUUAAAAAGAAAGCAAGAGCAUUAAGUCUGUUCUCUGCUUAAGUACAUUACAGCAACUUAGGCAACACGAAACUCAAGAAAGGCAGAAAAGCAAAUACCCUCUGUCCUAUGGCAAGAUUUACAAUCUUGUUCUGAGUGCAAUAUUUAUUAUACGGCUUAACAGAAGCUCUGGCAGGAUGGGGGAAAUGCUGGCGGCCCCGUGACGAGGAGGAGGCGUUCAAUAGCUUGCUGGGAAGUGGAGUUGGACACGAACUGAUCAACCAGCCAUUACACUCAGUGAUAAACACCCUGCAGGAGCCAUCAUUCACCCAGGAAGAAAGAGGAAGGCAGAUCAUUACAUUUAUUGGUCAUAGUUUUUAAAGAGUCAAUAAAGACCCACUAGAAAAGACACGGUUAGGAGCAGGAAUAUAUAUAUUUUUUUCAUGUAUCUUGAAAAUACCUUCAGCUCAGUUUGCUUUCUGCCCAAUACGUCAGGGUGAAUCUUCAUCCUAGGUGAUGGUCCCAGUGUAGACGGUGCUCAUAUUGUACAGUUUUUAAUGUCUUUAACCAUCUUUAGCUUUGUACCCUGAUAGCCCCUCCAGGCUAUAUGUCAAUGCCAUCUGGGAGUAAAAGAAGAGACUUCUGCUCAAGUAACGCUGUAAUGUAGAUCUCUCGACUAAAAUUGCACUUCCUUCACUUGACAAACUGUCAGCACAGAACAAUUAUCUGCCUGUUGGUUUGCUUGUCUUUUCUUUUUUUCUCCUCUCAGAAAAAAGAAAAAAAAAGAAAAAAGAAGAAGAAAAAAAAAACCAUACAAAGGAAAAGGACCUGCAGAGUAAAAUGCCGUGGGCAAAAUCCACAUAAUCUGAUUGCUGCGCCCAGAGAUGCAUUGGUGGACCACCAAAGGUAAAAGUGGGUCUAAUGCUAAAGGAGAGGGACAAUUUCUAGCUCCUUUCUUUCGGGGAUUUCCAGAGAGGAUAUUGCUAAAUAGAAGAUUAGGGAGGAAGAGGCAAGAGUCAUUAGACCCCUCUGCUUGUCUUGAGGGAGAAACCAAAACAGGCUGGAAGAGUCCAAAGCUUGAGUCCUGCUCAACAAGCUGAAGGAACCAUUUGAUUUUUCUCUCCUGGUAAGAAAGGAUGAGGAUGAUGUCUUUAGGGAAGAGAGCCAACCUGAUUUUUUGCUAGCCAUCUUGGUGUUAAUGGGACCGUGCAGUUCAUUUGGAGAAUACCCACAAAGCAUGAGUAGAGCCCCAAGAGGUGUAAUCUAAAUUAGUGGGUAAAUUUAUUUGUGCACUUUUUUUUUACUGUUUUAUUUUCCUUCUUCCCUUCUGUACCACCUCUUUUGCCACCUCCUCUGCUUCACCUGACAGAUGAAUGUGUUCAGGUCUUUGGGACAGAUAAUGUGUCUGUAUCCCUUUUAAAAGUCCUGUACAAACACUAUGGAUAGGAGAGUGCAGGUGUAUUUAGUCUGGUGUGUUUAGCAGAUUUAGAUUAUGAAUUACUGCUCAAAAUAACGUUUGCAUUUGCUGACAAAGGUCUUUAUUACAGAAGAGGUCAAGAAAAAAAGAUUAUUCCUGCUAAUUAUCCACUGCUAUUUAAUAUUUGCACAAAAGGUUUGCAAGACAGAGUCCUCAGCAUUGCUUUGUUUGAGAAGCUAAUAGGGUUUCUAGGAAACCAGCAGGGUCUGGAGGGCCAUCAGAUCAGCCUGUUAGUGGCUUUGAAGGACAAUUAGGCCUGAUGGAGUUACAGGGUGGUUGGCUAAAGGAUGGCAGUCCCUGAGCCAGGGCCUGAUGCUGGGGCAUUCAAAGUCAGUGGUAGAACUUCCACUCAUAGCUGUGCUUUAUGAGAAGCCAACUGGAGAGGAUCCAGUUUUCACACCCUGGGUAGGUCCAUGUCCUGGUUGAAAUGGAAGCUCCAUUUGCUCCUAUGCAGAGCAUCAGAAGGGAUUUGAGAGUGAACAGGUUUGACAGACAAACUGUUGGGAGGAAUAUUAGCAAUUAUUUUUUGGCCCUGGUCUUAGGUUUGUCCCUGUAUAUUAGCAGUCCUUGGAAAGUUCCCCCAAAGUCUAACAGCUGCCUUUGGCUUGGCCCCCACAUUUCUUGCAUUGGUUCAUAGUAGCCUGUAUCGUUCUACAAAUUCCUUAUUAAGUGAAUUGAAGUUCCCAUUCAUAAAGAUAUAAUUAACCAAUAAAUAUACCUGCAGAAAUUUCCAAACGUAGAUGUCUGAAGGUGAGAUCCAAGUUUAAGCUCCUAAAUACAUGGCCCAACUUUAAAAUCCCCACAUCCAUCUUCUUGCUUCAAGUGAAAUGGAAGCUUCCUACUAUUCAGUGCUCAGAUGGCUGUGGGGUACCAAAACACAGACCAAGGUGAUGUUUUGGCACACGGGUUUAUAGAGUGAUCAAAGUAGUGUGACAUCAUUGCACAACAACUGCAUCAGAUGAUAAAAUGCCAUGUACUCAUAACAUGUUGUAUGGAUGCUG
ensembl:lncRNA